rnacentral:misc_RNA from 1 species
GAUCAUUAUUGAAAUAAACCUGAUGAGUUGUUGCUGGCUCUCUAGGGAGCAUGUGCACACUUGUCAUCUUUGUAUCUUCACCUGUGCACCUUUUGUAGACCUUGGGUAUCUAUCUGAUUGCUUUAGCACUCAGGAUUGAGGAUUGACUUCUUGUCUCUUCUUACAUUUCCAGGUCUAUGUUUCUUAAUAUACCCUAAUGUAUGUUUAUAGAAUGUAAUUAAUGGGCCUUUGUGCCUAUAAAUCUAUACAACUUUCAGCAACGGAUCUCUUGGCUCUCGCAUCGAUGAAGAACGCAGCGAAAUGCGAUAAGUAAUGUGAAUUGCAGAAUUCAGUGAAUCAUCGAAUCUUUGAACGCACCUUGCGCUCCUUGGUAUUCCGAGGAGCAUGCCUGUUUGAGUGUCAUUAAUAUAUCAACCUCUUUGGUUGGAUGUGGGGGUUUGCUGGCCACUUGAGGUCAGCUCCUCUUAAAUGCAUUAGCGGACAACAUUUUGCUAAACGUUCAUUGGUGUGAUAAUUAUCUACGCUCUUGACGUGAAGCAGGUUCAGCUUCUAACAGUCCAUUGACUUGGAUAAAUUUUUUUCUAUCAAUGUGACCUCAAAUCAG